UCCCCCUCAACGUUGCGUUUCUAUGCUACAAACAGAUACCUGCGCAAGCUCCGUGUCAGAUCCUUUGGAUCAAAUCUUUAUUUGCAUAUGAGAAAUUCGGAGUAAUCUUCAAAACACCUCACUCCCUUCUUCGGAAGGUGCAUAGGUCUGCCGGUAACGGCCUGGCGUGUUUCACGUCUGCAAUUGGCAUCAGAAAAGCAGGGCGGGCCCGCGUCUUGUAUAUCUUGAAAGAGAGAAGAGGGCGCGUGGUUCGUUCCUAUGGGAGGGCUAUUGCGAAGAUCGUGUAUGUCAGAUGAACCUCCGUGUCCCUACCUGAUCCCUGACCCGAGAGGGGAGGGGUGAUGGCGGGGUUCGGUGACUAUAGAGGCAUGACACUUAAGUACAAUACGCAACGUGCUGGUUCUAUGGCGACUUGUUGCUGUAGAGCUGGUACAAUUCGAUUCUGAUUACUCUGUUGGGGA
rfam:Pseudogymnoascus pannorum VKM F-4513 (FW-928) contig_2090, whole genome shotgun sequence.